rnacentral:rRNA from 1 species
CCAGAGAACUUAGCAGAGAUGCUUUGGUGCCUUCGGGAACUCUGAGACAGGUGCUGCAUGGCUGUCGUCAGCUCGUGUUGUGAAAUGUUGGGUUAAAGUCCCCGCAACGAGCGCAACCCUUAUCCUUUGUUGCCAGCGAUUCGGUCGGGAACUCAAAGGAGACUGCCGGUGAUAAACCGGAGGAAGGUGGGGAUGACGUCAAGUCAUCAUGGCCCUUACGGCCAGGGCUACACACGUGCUACAAUGGCGCAUACAAAGAGAAGCGACCUCGCGAGAGCAAGCGGACCUCAUAAAGUGCGUCGUAGUCCGGAUUGGAGUCUGCAACUCGACUCCAUGAAGUCGGAAUCGCUAGUAAUCGUAGAUCAGAAUGCUACGGUGAAUACGUUCCCGGGCCUUGUACACACCGCCCGUCACACCAUGGGAGUGGGUUGCAAAAGAAGUAGGUAGCUUAACCUUCGGGAGGGCGCUUACCACUUUGUGAUUCAUGACUGGGGUGAAGUCGUAACAAGGUAGGCGUAGAUGA